rfam:Gossypium arboreum cultivar AKA8401 contig_25439_1, whole genome shotgun sequence.
AAUCCUGUGAUGAGGACACUUACAAAGUAAUUUUUUGAGUCUCUCCCAUGCCUCGUACAAGGGCUCAUCAUCCAUUUGUUGAAAAGUGGUGAUCUCGUUUCGCAACU